rnacentral:rRNA from 1 species
AGCUGCGGAAUUUAACCGUGCUAAGGUAGCAUAAUCAUUAGCCUCUUAAUUAGAGACUCGUAUGAACGGUGAAACAUUUCAAUUACUUUAUUAAUUAACUUUAUCAAACUUAAACCAAGAAUAAAAAUGUUCUUAUAAAUUAAUUAGACGACAAGACCCUUUUGAACUUUACUAUUGUUUAGCUGGGGUAGCUAUAAAAUAUUAAUCUUCUUAAUUUUAUUUAUAUAAAUGACCCAAUUCAAUUGAUUAUUUGAACAAGUUACCAUAGGGAUAACAGCGUAAUAUUUUUUAAAAGUUCUUAUUUAAAAAAAUGAUUGCGACCUCGAUGUUGAAUUAAUGUAACUUUAUUGAUGAAGUAAUCAUAAAAGUUGGUCUGUUCGACCAUUAAAACAUUACGUGAUCUGAGUUCAAACCG